CCACAAGGGACAAUCCGUCAUCUCCAGAGUUUUUCAUAUCAACGACAUACAAAUGUGUUGGCGGAUUACAGGUGUAUGUUCAGUACAACCACAAUCAAACGACACCCCCAGUUGCGAGCCCGCUUUGAGAAGAUUCUGUAGGAGCUGACCCACUUCACUCCUCGCUACAAGGAGAUAGUCUAUCUUUGACCACAGGAGUAGAGUUAAAGGAUCAGCAAUAAUCCGCAAUGGAUGUUGUCAACAGUGAGAGGUAGGCUACACCUGCAGUCAGACUUUUGCUAGGAGGGUGUGUGUGGAUGUGGGUGGUCCUUCUUUAUCUCAUCUCUCACUGAUCAUUUCUGCCCUAAUCUCUCAUUCCCUCUCUCUCAUUCUCUUUCCAAGAGUGAAGUCUGUGUAUUAUCCAAAGCACUCUCAUGCCCAUCAUUGAGCAGGACAGAAUGCGCUUGUGGAAGAACACCCACAGAACGGGCAUGCUUACUGACUGGCCUCAGUUCCAGUCUAAGGGCUGGGAUGCAAGUGAGAUGUUUAACUAGUAGACAUACAGAAUCAAUUCCACCUAUGGCUUCCUCUCCGUGUACAUAGACACCUGCCUCAGAUGAAGGAGACUGAGGGCAACCCCCCAAUAACAUCAUCUUGUCUCACUGAAAAACAAUGGAGGCAAGACUGAGGAGUACAAGUGCAACACCAUGGUCCAA
rnacentral:lncRNA from 1 species